UUGGAACGAUCGCUUGGCCCGUGCUUGUGUUUCCUUCCUAAAAAACAACAAAAUAAUUUUGAUUGAUUAAGUUAAUCAUUUUUUCUCAUUGGUUCUUUCGCAGGUAUCCGGAAGAAAAUUUCUUGCAAUUGUCGUCUAGGUGAUCCACACCUGCUAGUUUCUUCGUCUCUUCCCGGGCUUUAUUCAUCCAUUUAUGAUAGUUCAUUGUCAAAUAUUUUUCGAGCACGGUUCAAGCAUAAUCGUUAUUUUCGAAUGUGAAAAAUGUCUAAAAGCGAAAAAUAAGUUGUUAAUAUUUCUAACUAAAUAGAAAAAUGAAAAAAAAGUAUACCAAAUUUAAAGAGUACCAGAAAUUUAUUCCAAACUAGAGUCUUGUUCUCAUCACUCCAUUGAGCCCAAAAAUUUCAUCGUCAGGAAUGUUCGGUUUAACUAUACAUCCG
rnacentral:lncRNA from 1 species